UUUCGUAGCUAGCCAUGUCCCUUUGCGGUCAAUGUGCAUUUGGCUACAGGCCCUUUUUUCUGCUAGGAGAUGCGGCUCUUCUGCUGUCAGCGGGGCUGCAGUUUCCUAGCACUUUUACUUUGAAAAAAUUAGAGUGUCAAAGCAGGCUUUUUCUUUGCCUGAAUAUCUUAGCAUGGAAUAAUAGAAUAGGACUUUGGUUCUAUUUUGUUGGUUUCUAGGACUAGAGUAAUGAUUAAUAGGGAUAGUUGGGGGCAUUAGUAUUUAAUUGUCAGAGGUGAAAUUCUUGGAUUUAGGAAAGACUAACUUCUGCGAAAGCAUUUGCCAAGGAUGUUUUCAUUAAUCAAGAACGAAAGUUAAGGGAUCGAAGAUGAUUAGAUACCAUCGUAGUCUUAACCAUAAACGAUGCCGACCAGGGAUCGGGCGCUUGUAGUUUUUCCAAAAAGACACGCCCGGCACCUUUUGAGAAAUCAAAGUUUUUGGGU
rnacentral:ncRNA from 1 species